CCUACGGGUGGCACCAGUGGGGAAUAUUGCACAAUGGGCGCAAGCCUGAUGCAGCCAUGCCGCGUGUAUGAAGAAGGGCUUCGGGUUGUAAAGUACUUUCAGCGGGGAGGAAGGUGUUGUGGUUAAUAACCGCAGCAAUUGACGUUGCCCGCAGAAGAGGCACCGGCUAACUCCGUGCCAGCAGCCGCGGUAAUACGGAGGGUGCAAGCGUUAAUCGGAAUUACUGGGCGUAAAGCGCACGCAGGCGGUCUGUCGAGUCGGAUGUGAAAUCCCCGGGCUCAACCUGGGAACUGCAUUCGAAACUGGCAGGCUAGAGUCUUGUAGAGGGGGGUAGAAUUCCAGGUGUAGCGGUGAAAUGCGUAGAGAUCUGGAGGAAUACCGGUGGCGAAGGCGGCCCCCUGGACAAAGACUGACGCUCAGGUGCCAAAGCGUGGGGAGCAAACAGGAUUAGAUACCCCUGUAGUC
rnacentral:rRNA from 1 species